rnacentral:rRNA from 1 species
UACGAAGGGGGCUAGCGUUGUUCGGAAUGACUGGGCGUAAAGGGUGCGUAGGCGGUUUGAUAAGUUUGGUGUGAAAGUCCUGGGCUCAACCUGGGGAUUGCACUGGAAACUAUUAGGCUAGAGAUCGAGAGAGGAAAAUGGAAUUGCGAGUGUAGAGGUGAAAUUCGUAGAUAUUCGCAAGAACACCGGUGGCGAAGGCGGUUUUCUGGCUCGAUACUGACGCUAAGGCACGAAAGCGUGGGGAGCAAACAGG